AUGGUUUCAAUUUGCAACUGCGAAUACGCAGCCUUCCGUUCGUUCAGCCAUCACCGCCUGAAACGCUUAGCUCUGCCUUCGCCGAGACUUCAUCAACAUCUCAUGUUCCGCAACAAGCUUCUUUUCCACUGCAACAACUAUCCGACACCAUCGCAGGAUACAUGCAUCAGUUUCAACGUUGCAGUCACCACCCUUUAUCAUUCGCUACGAUUUCUGUAA